rnacentral:rRNA from 1 species
AUUGAACGCUGGCGGCAUGCCUUAUACAUGCAAGUCGAACGGCAGCACGGACUUCGGUCUGGUGGCGAGUGGCGAACGGGUGAGUAAUGUAUCGGAACGUGCCCAGUCGUGGGGGAUAACGUAGUGAAAAUUACGCUAAUACCGCAUACGAUCUAUGGAAGAAAGCGGGGGAUCGCAAGACCUAGCGCGAUUGGAGCGGCCGAGAUCAGAUUAGGUAGGUGGUGGGGUAAAGGCCCACCAAGCCAACGAUCUGUAGCUGGUCUGAGAGGACGACCAGCCACACUGGAACUGAGACACGGUCCAGACUCCUACGGGAGGCAGCAGUGGGGAAUUUUGGACAAUGGGCGAAAGCCUGAUCCAGCCAUUCCGCGUGCAGGAUGAAGGCCCUCGGGUUGUAAACUGCUUUUGUACAGAACGAAAAGGUUUCUACUAAUACUAGGAGCUCAUGACGGUACUGUAAGAAUAAGCACCGGCUAACUACGUGCCAGCCGCCGCCGUAA